rnacentral:rRNA from 1 species
GACAGAGGGUGCAAGCGUUGUUCGGAAUUAUUGGGCGUAAAGGGCGCGUAGGCGGUUCAGUAAGUCACAUGUGAAAUCCCGGGGCCUAACCCCGGAAGUGCGUGUGAUACUGCAGAACUUGAGUCCCGGAGAGGGUGGUGGAAUUCCCAGUGUAGAGGUGAAAUUCGUAGAUAUUGGGAGGAAUACCGGUGGCGAAGGCGACCACCUGGACGGAGACUGACGCUGAGGCGCGAAAGCGUGGGGAGCAAACAGG